AUGUACUCAGACAGCACACGGACGGGACACUAUGGACUCAUUCAUCAAAACAAUAACGACUACUGCUACUGCCGCCACGGUGUCCAUUACGGACCCACGUUGUUCCAGGGAGGACCAGGGGGAAACAGACCACCACCCAUACGCCCAGACCACCCAGCAUCACUGGACCUCAGGGAAGACUUCCAGCUUCCUCUUUUCCCUGUGGAGACCGAGGAUAUAGAGCCUGGACUAGAGAACGGUGAGAGAAGUGGAGGAGGAAGAGGUGGAGGAGGAGGAGGAGGCAGACAAGAAGGUGAAGGCAGAGGAGGAGGAGGAGGAGGUGGUGGAAGAGGAGAUGGAGGAAGAGGUGGAGGAGGAAGAGGAGGCAGACAAGAAGGUGAAGGCAGAGGAGGAGGAGGAGGAGGCAGACGAGAAGGUGAAGGCAGAGAAGGAAGAGGAGGAGGCAGACAAGAAGGUGAAGAUAGAGGAGGUGAAGGCAGAGGAGGAGGUGAAGGCAGAGGAGGAGGUGGAGGAGGAGGCAUUGAAGCUGAAGCUGGUCACACUCACAGGGCCCCACAGAGGAGGCCAGUGUUCACAGGGCAGGGUCAGAAUGCCCAACCUCAGUCAGACCUAUUUAGCCCUAGCCAAACCUAUGACUACAACCCUGCCCAGUGGAGCUGGCCAAUGGAGCCCUCAGGCCCUGGUCUGAGACACUAUUCCCCUGUGAGAGAACAAUGUGGCUGUGUGGGACAGGGUGGAGGUGACGCUGUUGGGACGGCGACCGGGACACACCCCUUCAACAGCAGCAGACAUGCGUCAGCCUUGUCACUCCCGGCGGACCCAGAGCCGGCACACAGACAGACUAGCUACAACUACGAUCCAGAGGGGAGCAGGCAGGCUAGUUAUGGAGCGGAAGAGCAGAUCUGGGGUCAGUCAAAACACAGACAGGCCAGCUGCAGUUACAGUACAGAAGACAAACCGAUACGCAGGCAGGCUAGUUAUGGAGUGGAAGAACAGAUCUGGGGUCAGUCAAAACACAGACAGGCCAGCUGCAGUUACAGUACAGAAGACAAACCGAUACGCAGGCAGGCUAGUUAUGGAGUGGAAGAACAGAUCUGGGGUCAGUCAAAACACAGACAGGCCAGCUGCAGCUACAGUUUGAGGCUAGAAAGACAGACUAGCUACGGUCCACAGGAACUACACAGACAGGCUAGCUACAGCUACAGUCCAGAAGACAAGCCAAUACACGGACAGACUAGCUACGGUCCAGAAGAACAGAUCUGGGAUCUGUCGAAACACAGACAGGCUAGUUAUAGUCCAGAAGACAAACCGAUACACGGACAGACUAGCUACGGUCCAGAAGAACAGAUCUGGGAUCUGUCGAAACACAGACAGGCUAGUUAUAGUCCAGAAGACAAACCGAUACACGGACAGACUAGCUAUGGUCCAGAAGAACAGAUCUGGGAUCAGUCGAAACACAGACAGGCUAGUUAUAGUCCAGAAGACAAACCGAUACACGGACAGACUAGCUACGGUCCAGAAGACAAGAUCUGGGAUCAGCCGAAACACAGACAGGCUAGCUACAGUUACAGUACAGAAAGGCAGGACUGGAGAUUUACUGCUGGUGGUCAACACGAUCAUUUGGACAGGUGUGUACCACUGGAACAAGGAAAUUUACACUCCCACAUGCCAAAUGGAUGCUGUGGCAUUGGUGGUCCAAGUCCCAGGCCUGUGUCCUCUCAGGGCAGGGGAGAUAGAGCUAACCCCCAGGAGAGGACUACUAGAUUAAAGGCUGGAGGAGUUGGAGGUGGGAUAGGAGAAGACGGCUGUAAUGGACGACAUGUCCCUGCUGGCUCGAGCUCUGAGGGUUUGGUCAGGAAGAAGCAGGGUUCGGUCUGGAAGAACCAGGGUUUGCUCCGGGAGAAGGAGGGUUCAGUCAGGGAGAAGGAGUGUUCGGUCCUGGAGAACCAGAAUGCGAUCCGGGCGAAUGAGUGUGCGGUCCAUGAGAACCGCGGUUCAACCCAGGAGAACCAGGGUUCGAUCCGGGAAAAGGAGGUUUCAGUCCAGGCGAAGAAGGGUUCAACCCAGGAGAACCAGGGUUCGAUCCGGGAGAAGGAGGUUUCAGUCCAGGCGAAGGAGGGUUCAACCCAGGAGAACCAGGGUUCGGUCCGGGAGAAGGAGGUUUCAGUCCAGGCGAAGAAGGGUUCAACCCAGGAGAACCAGGGUUCGAUCCGGGAGAAGGAGGAUUCAGUCCGGACGAAGGAGGGUUCUGUCUGUGAGCAGAUCAGACAGGUGGUGUCAGACCUGGAGGGGGUCCUGGGGGGUCUCAAACAAGUCCACGUGGAGAUGAAGGAGGUGGUCCAACAGAUAGAUCGUCUGACAGCUAACAUUGACCUGGAAGAGGAAGAGGGAUCAUGUAACAAGUCCCCUAGUCGUGGUGACGGUCACCUCAACCCCAGAGACUGUAAAGGUGGUGACAGUCACCUCAACCCCAGAGACUGUAAAGGUGGUGACGGUCACCUCAACCCCAGAGACUGUAAAGGUGGUGACGGUCACCCCAACCCCAGAGACUGUAAAGGAGUCCUGAUGUUCAACCAGGGAGACCAGAGACCACAGUACAGAGACAUGGACCGGAUCGUCAACCAGAAGACUACUAGGGUCCAGGUACACACCCACUGGACUGGUACAGGGGACCUGGUCCACAACCAUAAGACUCCUGGGAACCAUGGACCACAGUGCAGCGACAUGGAUCAUACUGUCAUCAUACAUGACCCUCCUCCCGACCCCAGAGACAUCCCUGGGGUCCUGGUGUACAGACAGAAGACUAAUGGAGAUCAGGGAGUCUCCCUACUGUACAGACAACCUGACCAUACUGUCACCAUACGAACUAACUCCCUGUCUCCUGUCCUCACCGCAUCUGUCAUCAAGACCAACCGGGUUGGGGUCACAGCCCUGAGCCCCAUGGGCUCCCUGAGCACCUCCAAAGACCCCAAACAGGACAGACGGGGGCUCAACGGACACCCUCCUCUACCCGGUCCAGGUAGAGAACUGAACCAUGUGGCCCCCCAGACCCCCCCAGAGCUAGAAAUGACCCGCUCCCUACCCCUGCCCCUAUGGACUCAACUGUCUGACCCCACAGCCAUGGUCGGAUACAGUGUCCCCACUCUUAGGAUCCAGAAAUCUCCACUGUACCCCCGCCACAACGGACGGGUGGAGAGGCUCAGUAAGAGUCCGGCUCAACCAACCUACCCUGCCCACCCAGCACUGCCGGUCCUGCCCCACCUGGCCCAGCCACCCUACCCUACCCACCCUAACCACCCAACCCACCCUGCCCUGCCUCCCAGUGACUUGAAGACACCCCCCUGGUGUGGCAUGGUAUGA
rnacentral:lncRNA from 1 species